rnacentral:rRNA from 1 species
GCCUACGGGAGGCAGCAGUGGGGAAUAUUGGACAAUGGGGGAAACCCUGAUCCAGCGACGCCGCGUGGGUGAAGAAGGCCUGCGGGUUGUAAAGCCCUUUCGGUAGGGAAGAAAUCUCUUGCUCUAACAAAGCAAGGGUUUGACUUAACCUACAUAAGAAGCACCGGCUAACUCUGUGCCAGCAGCCGCGGUAAUACAGAGGGUGCGAGCGUUAACCGGAAUUACUGGGCGUAAAGCGCACGUAGUCGGCUUGCCAAGUCGGGUGUGAAAUCCCCGGGCUCAACCUGGGAACUGCAUCCGAAACUGGCUUGCUAGAGUAUGGGAGAGGGAGGCGGAAUUUCUGGUGUAGCAGUGAAAUGCGUAGAUAUCAGAAGGAACAUCAGUGGCGAAGGCGGCCUCCUGGACCAAUACUGACGAUCAGGUGCGAAAGCGUGGGGAGCAAACAGGAUUAGAUACCCGCGUAGUCCC